GAUGAAGAACGCAGCGAAAUGCGAUAAGUAGUGUGAAUUGCAGAAUUCAGUGAAUCAUCGAAUCUUUGAACGCACAUUGCGCCCCUUGGUAUUCCAUGGGGCAUGCCUGUUCGAGCGUCAUUUGUACCUUCAAGCCUUGCUUGGUGUUGGGUGUUUGUCUCGCCUCUGCGCGCAGACUCGCCUCAAAACAAUUGGCAGCCGGCGUAUUGAUUUCGGAGCGCAGUACAUCUCGCGCUUUGCACUCAGAACGACGACGUCCAAAAGUACAUUUUUACACUCUUGACCUCGGAUCAGGUAGGGAUACCCGCUGAACUUAAGCAUAUCAAUAAGCGGACGA
rnacentral:misc_RNA from 1 species